rnacentral:misc_RNA from 1 species
AGUCGUAACAAGGUAUCCGUAGGUGAACCUGCGGAUGGAUCAUUAACAAAGGUGUUUUUUAAGUUAUGUGAACAGUUUUGGUGGUUGUGGGAGUGGUGGAUGGUUGUGGGGGGAGGUGGAAGUGGUUGUGGGGGGAGGUUGGAGUGGUUAGAUCAAAUCAAACCACACCAAACACACAACACCACACCAAUCACACCCCACUCUCCUCACCCACAUCACCACUCCCAACUUUAAUGUACAAACUGAUGUCUGCCUAGUUUUCUAAACUAAAACAACUUUUAGCAACGGAUCUCUUGGCUCUC